UACAGAGGUCCCAAGCGUUGUUCGGAUUCAUUGGGCGUAAAGGGUGCGUAGGCGGUUUCCUAAGUCUGGUGUGAAAUCUCGGAGCUCAACUCCGAAACUGCACUGGAUACUGGGAGACUUGAGUACUGGAGGGGAGACUGGAAUUUACGGUGUAGCAGUGAAAUGCGUAGAUAUCGUAAGGAAGACCAGUGGCGAAGGCGAGUCUCUGGACAGUUACUGACGCUGAGGCACGAAGGCUAGGGGAGCAAACGGG
rnacentral:rRNA from 3 species